rnacentral:rRNA from 1 species
UACGUAGGUGGCAAGCGUUGUCCGGAUUUACUGGGCGUAAAGAGCGCGCAGGCGGUCGGCCAAGUCGAGUGUGAAAGCCCCCGGCUCAACUGGGGAGGGUCAUUCGAUACUGGUCGACUCGAAGGCAGGAGAGGGAAGCGGAAUUCCCGGUGUAGUGGUGAAAUGCGUAGAUAUCGGGAGGAACACCAGUGGCGAAGGCGGCUUCCUGGCCUGUUCUUGACGCUGAGGCGCGAAAAGCUAGGGGAGCAAACGGGG